rnacentral:rRNA from 1 species
AGUGAACGCUGGCGGCAGGCCUAACACAUGCAAGUCGAACGGCAGCACAGGAGAGCUUGCUCUCUGGGUGGCGAGUGGCGGACGGGUGAGGAAAACGUCGGAAUCUGCCUAUUUGUGGGGGAUAGCGUAGGGAAACUUACGCUAAUACCGCAUACGACCUACGGGUGAAAGCGGAGGACCUUCGGGCUUCGCGCAGAUAGAUGAGCCGACGUCGGAUUAGCUAGUUGGCGGGGUAAAGGCCCACCAAGGCGACGAUCCGUAGCUAGUCUGGGAGGAUGAUCAGCCACACUGGAACUGAGACACGGUCCAGACUCCUACGGGAGGCAGCAGUGGGGAAUAUUGGACAAUGGGCGCAAGCCUGAUCCAGCCAUGCCGCGUGGGUGAAGAAGGCCUUCGGGUUGUAAAGCCCUUUUGUUGGGAAAGAAAAGCAGCCGGUUAAUACCCGGUUGUCAUGACGGUACCCAAAGAAUAAGCACCGGCUAACUUCGUGCCAGCCGCCGCCGUAACAC